GGCUGGCUGGCGGAUUGCAAUGUCACCUCGCGCGGGGAUAGAUCCUCUGCAGACGACUGAAGUGACCAAGCGGGUCGUGUAAGCGGUCAAGUAGCCUAGUUGUUACGAGUCGCUGAGCGUCAGCCCGAUCCUUGGCUCGAUUUGU
rnacentral:ncRNA from 1 species